rnacentral:lncRNA from 1 species
AUCUGCAACAUUCCUGCAAGAGCUAAGCCAAAAUUUCCCACAAUCUGUUUUUCUGUGAAUUUGUCUGACAGUUUUCUUUCUCUCACCCCUGCAGAAAAAGGCCAUCCUGCAGAAUUUUAUCUGGGGCAUUGUGGAAGAUGCAAAAUGGUGACCAGGCUGCUGAUACAGUUUUUAAACAAAAAAAUCAAAACAAGCAAGCAGAGCUUUGCAGGGGGCAGUUAAAAUGUUGUUCUUCUGCUAAUGGUAAGCCCCAUCUCAAAGAAACUGCUGGAGAAUUUCUACCCAAAGAGAACUUUGGUGAAAUGCUCCCUGCAGAAAAGGUGGAGAAUUUUGAGUAUAAAGCUUUUCUCAGUAGUGAAAGAGCACAUUUGAAUGAUAAGCUGGUAACCUGCAAGAAAUCCGAAAGUUGCGAAGACAAAUUGGCACUAAUUUUAUGAUGUGAUUAAUACAAGUUGACUCAACAUCCUGAAGAAACCAACGUUGCCACCUUGGGAAAUACAUUUCUGCACCAAUUAUUCCUAGGUGUUAUAUCUGAUUAAUUAUGCUCUCACUCCAUUAGAUAACUGAUGGGUAACUUUGCAUCUGUCUCCACAUUUUUGAUUUAACAGACAACUUUAUUGAAAAAUUCAUGGAAAGAGAACAGCUGAU